rnacentral:rRNA from 1 species
CCUACGGGAGGCUGCAGUGAGGAAUAUUGGUCAAUGGGCGCGAGCCUGAACCAGCCACGUAGCGUGAAGGAUGACUGCCCUACGGGCUGUAAACUUCUUUUAUAAAGGAAUAAAGUGCGGCACGUGUGCCUUUUGGUACGGACUUUAUGAAUAAGGAUCGGCUAACUCCGUGCCAGCAGCAGCGGUAAUACGGAGGAUCCGAGCGUUAUCCGGAUUUAUUGGGUGUAAAGGGAGCGUAGAUGGGUUGUUAAGUCAGUUGUGAAAGUUUGCGGCUAAACCGUAAAAUUGCAAUUGAUACUGGCAGCCUUGAGUGCAGUUGAGGUAGGCGGAAUUCGUGGUGUAGCGGUGAAAUGCUUAGAUAUCACGAAGAACUCCGAUUGCGAAGGCAGCCUACUAAACUGCCACUGACAUUGAUGCUCGAAAGUGUGGGUAUCAAACAGGAUUAGAUACCCUAGUAGUC